rnacentral:rRNA from 1 species
GACGAACGCUGGCGGCGUGCUUAACACAUGCAAGUCGAACGGAAAGGCCCUGCUUUUGUGGGGUGCUCGAGUGGCGAACGGGUGAGUAACACGUGAGUAACCUGCCCUUGUCUUUGGGAUAACUUCAGGAAACUGGGGCUCAUACCGGAUAGGAUCUCCUGCUGCAUGGUGUGGGUUGGAAAGUUUCGGCGGUUGUGGAUGGACUCGCGGCUUAUCAGCUUGUUUGUGGGGUAGUUGCUUACCAAGGCUUUGACGGGUAGCCGGCCUGAGAGGGUGACCGGCCACAUUGGGACUGAGAGACGGAGCAGAAUCCUACGGGAGGCAGCAGUGGGGAAUAUUGCAGAAUGGGCGGAAGCCUGAGGCAGAAACGCCGCGUGCGGGAUGACGGCCUUCGGGUUGUAAACCGCUUUCGACUGUGACGAAGCGUGAGUGACGGUAAUGGGUAAAGAAGCACCGGCUAACUACGUG